AAUGAACGCUGGCGGCGCGCCUAAUACAUGCAAGUCGAGCGAGAAGACGUAGCAAUACGUUUGUAAAGCGGCGAACGGGUGAGGAAUACAUGGGUAACCUACCCUUGAGUGGGGAAUAACUAGCCGAAAGGUUAGCUAAUACCGCGUACGCUUCCUGGACUUCGGUUCAGGGAGGAAAGCGAUGCCGAGGGUAUCGCGCUCUUGGAUGGGCUCAUGUCCUAUCAGCUUGUUGGGAGGU
rnacentral:rRNA from 1 species